rnacentral:rRNA from 1 species
UACGUAGGGAGCGAGCGUUGUCCGGAAUCAUUGGGCGUAAAGAGCAUGUAGGUGGAUCAAUUAGUCUGCUGUGAAAGUCAAAGGCUCAACCUUUGAAAGCCGGUGGAUACUGUGGGGCUAGAGUACGGAAGAGGCGAGUGGAAUUCCUGGUGUAGCGGUGGAAUGCGCAGAUAUCAGGAGGAACACCAAUAGCGAAGGCAGCUCGCUGGGACGUUACUGACGCUGAGGCGCGAAAGCGUGGGGAGCGAACAGG